rnacentral:rRNA from 1 species
UCCUACGGGGGGCAGCAGUGGGGAAUAUUGCACAAUGGGGGAAACCCUGAUGCAGCGACGCCGCGUGAAGGAUGAAGUAUUUCGGUAUGUAAACUUCUAUCAGCAGGGAAGAAAAUGACGGUACCUGACUAAGAAGCCCCGGCUAACUACGUGCCAGCAGCCGCGGUAAUACGUAGGGGGCAAGCGUUAUCCGGAUUUACUGGGUGUAAAGGGAGCGUAGACGGCGUGCCAAGUCUGAUGUGAAAGGCCGGGGCUCAACCCCGGGACUGCUCUGGAAACUGUGCGGCUAGAGUACUGGAGGGGCG